rnacentral:misc_RNA from 1 species
AAAUUGCUUCAAAUGCAGAAAUGAAUGAAGUAAUUAUUAUACAUUCAAAUGAGCUCUAAAAAUAACAGAGAUAUUUGUUGUCACAAGGAAGCCAACCUAACUAUUCUGGCAACUAAACCUGGUUUUACAAAAUGAAGCUCUAGGUAAUUACUGGAAGCUAAGUUUCUUGCUCGUCGAACCAAUGCUUCAAAAUGACGAGAUCAAUUAUCUCCAUGGAAUCAGAUCUACUUGGGAAUUAUUCUGCCUUUUGCCUGCGGUUUUCCUCUAUAAUUUUCUGGAACUCUUCCUCACUUCUUGCUAGCAAACGCUUCACGGUGUCAAAAGUAGUAAGCCUAAUGCUGCUAUUAGGGAGAGUUUUCAGUGCAUUGGGAACAAAACCCCUGUAGAGUCCAACUAUACCAUCACGGGCCACUAUACCUGGGAAGGCAUCAAAAAUUGUCAUAUAAGGUGUACCCUUCAUUUGCAUUUGCCUUCUCACUGUGUCCAAUGGAUAGCACAAUAGAGUGGCAAUAGUUGCUGAAAUCAAACCUGUAGCCAGAGUGGCUUCAGUUCGUUUCUGAUACUCUUCUGGCAAAGCUUUUUUCACCAAGUCAAAAACACAAAAG